UCAGUGGCCGCUGUGCCAAGUGAACCCAGUUGGACUCCACCCCCCACUAAGCAAAUUAAAGAAAAAAAUAAAAUGGGGGUAGGAACUAUCCUAUUAUUUUGCUGCUUGAGAGUUACAGGAAUAUUGUUAAUGUGGACCUUGGUUCUGGGUAGUGUCACUGUGUACAAGAGAAAGUCUAAAAGUAUCUGCAAAAUGAGUGUGUCUUUGGUUUCAUGAUUGGUUGUACUGCUGAAUACACAUGCAUCAGUUAGUAUAGAACCUUCCAAUUACUGUAGUGAUUUAUUUCUGUGGUGUUACAGAAAAGCCAGUUAAGUCAGAGAUUUGUCAAAAUAAGAUAUGUCUUGAAUUUCUCCUUAUCAGAAGGAUGAAGUAAAAAGCAGGUUAUGCCUCUGAGCAGAAUACUUCAUAUUCAGUGACAAUGAAAUGCUGAGUUAAGUACAUUACUCUAUAAACAUCUAAAGUUUCUUCUUCUUAAAAAGAUUUUAGUGACUUGUCCCUCUUUUAUGUAACACCAUAGAUGUGACUCACCAUUCUGUUGCCUUUCACAACUAGUGGCAUCAACAUGGCUGGUCCACUUACCAUGUACACCAAAGAACAGCAAUGUGCAGUGAUUACAUUUUUGUGAUGUGAAUAUGCAAGGCCAGCACAGCAUAGUAACAGUGUUCACUCUGAAUGUGGAUGAGUCCCCUGAUUGUUCAUAAUCAGUGCCACUUAUUUGGCCAUUUUGCAACAUGUUAGUUCAUCCAUACAUGCUUCACUGUCGCCAGCCAUUGUCACUGUAUGCUGCUGAUGUUUCAUGAAUCACUGCACGCUGCUCUUGUUUGGUUCAUGUGAAAAGUGGAGUGGCAGUGUCGGUACAAGUAGUGGCUAAAGGCGACUGAAUGUUGGAGAUCAGAAAGGUCACUAUAACAAUGGAGAUGUUUCAUGCUAAUGGUUAUGUGUGCAUUCAGUAGUGGAGCCAGGUCCCUCCUCCACCAAAUAAAGAAAGGAAUAUUUUGGGAUACUUUCUGACUUGGAAGGCUGUAUUGCUGUUGGUUAUCUAAAUGUUUAUUAUAGUGUUUGAUUUGUUAUGCAAAUGUUAUGUUGAACAUUGUCAUUUUUCUGGGAUAUGUUUGAUAUGUUCAAUGUUUCAGAAACUGGACCAGUUUACAUCACCAUAUGUAAGGGCAAGCAGGGUGGCCCAUCAGUCAGUGGGUGUAAUAAUGUCUAAUCCUUUUUAAGGAACCUAAUGAGCAUGAUCCAUUUUAUCUUACAUUUGAUGAUGGAAGUGAAUCCAUUUUAUGAAAUGUUUUGUAUAACUAAAAUAAUUGAAUCACUGGGCAAUGAUAGACAUAAUAUCUUAAUACUGGAUUGCUGAUUUAUUGAAGAUUGAAUACAGAAUGACUACCUGGUUAUCACUGCAGAAAUUUGUAAUACAGAUUCCCAGAACCGCUGAUUAAUUCAUCAGGCAAUGGGCAAUGGAGAGUGAGGCAGAAGAUACAGGGCUGAUCUUUGGAUAAGUUAGUGGAAAGUCUAGAAUGUGGGAAACCUGCUAAGAGGCUGCAGGCCAGAGAGAAACGAAAGCAGGGAGAAGAACAAAAUAGGAGGAAUAAAGGCGAGAGAGAGAAAAAAUAGAAGUGAAGAGCUGAACAGCCAGUGGCCAGUUACAAAGUCAGCAUGGAUACAAUACAGGACAAAAGAAAGUAAUAGUGUAAACAUUAAGUCACAUCUAGCAAAGAUGAAAGAAAUCAACAAAAUGUAAAUAAGGUACUGUUAGAAACAUGUAGAAUUUAGAAAAGUGUGUCCAAGUUCAUGUUUUUCUGAGGAAUUGAGUAAAGUAGACUGUUACUGGAUUUCAGUGGCAAAACAUUGGUGUUCACUGGAGCAUAGUUUUGGAACCACUGCUUUGCAGAAAAAUAUGCUUUAAUACAUUAAUAGUGUAUGAACAGCUUCUCUCUAUAUCUAAGAAACUUAAAGACAAGUUCUGUAAGUGGUACAAUGAAAUGGACUCAUUCUGUGCAUUGCUAGAGUACAGUAAACGCUCCAUUUUCCGGCAUGUAUGGGGAAUGUGGUCUGUUGGUUACAUGAAUCUGCCAGUUGCAUGAGAAUACCCAUAUGGGAAUCCAAGACAGAACAACAUAUUGUUGCCUUAGAUCUUGCAUAAGAAUGUUCCUAACUGAAGGAUUUUGGUUAUGUAUACUGUAAUGUAAUCACAGAUUCACCUAGUCCCUACUUUAAUGGCAUCUGCUUGAGGAAGGAAUAUUUAUAGUGCUUCUGGUGGUAGUUGGGAGAA